GUGGGGAAUUUUCCGCAAUGGGCGAAAGCCUGACGGAGCAAUGCCGCGUGGAGGUAGAAGGCUCACGGGUCGUAAACUCCUUUUCUCAGAGAAGAUGCGAUGACGGUAUCUGAGGAAUAAGCAUCGGCUAACUCUGUGCCAGCAGCCGCGGUAAGACAGAGGAUGCAAGCGUUAUCCGGAAUGAUUGGGCGUAAAGCGUCUGUAGGUGGCUUUUCAAGUCCGCUGUCAAAUCCCAGGGCUCAACCCUGGACAGGCAGUGGAAACUAUCAAGCUGGAGUACGGUAGGGGCAGAGGGAAUUUCCGGUGGAGCGGUGAAAUGCGUAGAGAUCGGAAAGAACACCAAUAGCGAAAGCACUCUGCUGGGCCGACACUGACACUGAGAGACGAAAGCUAGGGGAGCAAAUGGG
rnacentral:rRNA from 1 species